rnacentral:rRNA from 1 species
UGGCUCAUUAAAUCAGUUAUCGUUUAUUUGAUAGUACCUUACUACAUGGAUAACCGUGGUAAUUCUAGAGCUAAUACAUGCUGAAAAUCCCGACUUCGGAAGGGAUGUAUUUAUUAGAUUAAAAACCAAUGCCCUCCGGGGCUCUCUGGUGAUUCAUAAUAACUUCUCGAAUCGCACGGCCUUGCGCCGGCGAUGGUUCAUUCAAAUUUCUGCCCUAUCAACUUUCGACGGCUGGGUCUUGGCCAGCCGUGGUGACAACGGGUAACGGAGGGUUAGGGCUCGACCCCGGAGAAGGAGCCUGAGAAACGGCUACUACAUCCAAGGAAGGCAGCAGGCGCGCAAAUUACCCAAUCCCGACACGGGGAGGUAGUGACAAUAAAUACUGAUACAGGGCUCUUUCGGGUCUUGUAAUUGGAAUGAGUACAAUUUAAAUCCCUUAACGAGGAACAAUUGGAGGGCAAGUCUGGUGCCAGCAGCCGCGGUAAUUCCAGCUCCAAUAGCGUAUAUUAAAGUUGUUGAGGUUAAAAAGCUCGUAGUUGAACCUUGGGCCUAGCCGGCCGGUCCGCCUCACCGCGUGCACUGGCUCGGCUGGGUCUUUCCUUCUGGAGAACCGCAUGCCCUUUACCUGGGUGUGCCGGGGAACCAGGACUUUUACUCUGAACAAAUUAGAUCGCUUAAAGAAGGCCUAUGCUCGAAUACAUUAGCAUGGAAUAAUAGAAUAGGACGUGUGGUUCUAUUUUGUUGGUUUCUAGGACCGCCGUAAUGAUUAAUAGGGACAGUCGGGGGCAUCAGUAUUCAAUUGUCAGAGGUGAAAUUCUUGGAUUUAUUGAAGACUAACUAUUGCGAAAGCAUUUGCCAAGGAUGUUUUCAUUAAUCAGGAACGAAAGUUAGGGGAUCGAAGACGAUCAGAUACCGUCGUAGUCUUAACCAUAAACUAUGCCGAUUAGGGAUCGGACGGCGUUAUUUUUUGACCCGUUCGGCACCUUACGAUAAAUCAAAAUG